CGGGGUAUAGCGCAGCCUGGUAGCGCACCUGUCUGGGGGACAGGUGGUCGUCGGUUCAAAUCCGGCUACCCCGACCA
rnacentral:tRNA from 1 species